UUUUAAGCUGGAAAUUCUCGUCAAAUUCUUUGCAGGCUUAAAACUAGACCGUCUCGUUAAUGUUCUUGCGGAAUUCUACACAUAAACCAAAACAGGAAAAUUCACAAAAAAGAAGGGAAAUCGUCAAUUUCCAGCUAUUUUAAUUGGUAAGCAAAGGCAAUAAGAAUUCAACAUAUGUGUAGUUCCGCUCGCCUAAUCCUCUAUUCUCUUCGCCAUAUAUUAUCCUUUAAAAAAACAAAAGAGAUCAAGAAUUUAACAGACUUGCCUGUAGGUUUUCAGUACUUGUAUCAGAAGAACCAUCAGUGGAGGAUACAUGGUGAUUGGAUAUACUGCUGGAUCUCUUUCGGUACGGCUUCAGGCUUGGUGAUUUGGAGAGCUUGAUUGAUGUCAACUUUUUCAAUUUCUUCUUCUUCUUCUUCUUCUGCAGCAGCAGCUCUCCUUGGCUUCUGCCAAUCUGGUUUUGCAAAACAGAUGGUGACAAUUUCUCACACAUUUGGCUGGAAUCCAAAUCAGCUCCAAACUCAGGCUCCUUAUCAUCCAUUAUCUUUCCCUUGACAGAAUUCAAGUUUUCUGAUAUGAAUCUAGCUGCUUUUCUUCUUCUUUGUUUUGUCUUGUUUCUGUUUUUUCUUUUCAGAAGGGAAGAAAGAAAACGAAUUUGGUGGAAAGAAGGGUUUUUGCGGACUCUGUUUUGGGAGAUGACUCAAUAAAAAGAAUCCAAGGAUUGGUGUUUUCAGAAUUUUCUAACUUGAUCUUAAAAUCCAGGUAUGCAAUCAAAAUAAAUAAUAAGAGACAUGAAUAACAGCUGAGUUUGAAGAAUAAGGCUGAGGUUGGACUUCGAUUUCUUGACUUGUAUGCAUACUAUUGCAAUUGACUUGACUAUUCACCCCCUCCUUUAUCUUUUCCUUUAUAGGGAUGAACAACUGUGACACAUUAUUAAAAGUUCUUGGUUGGAAUGACCUUUAAUUCUUUUCUUCUUAUUUUUUAAUUAGAAGCGAUAGCACAACUCAAUGUGACAGCAAGUGACGGAACCGAGAUUUUUAAUAACAGGAUCAUAAUAUUAAUCAAAAAUAUUUUAUUGGGCCAUUUUGUUGUGCACCUAACCGACACUCACUAAUUUCUGCCAACAUAUAUCAGUAGCUUAUGGCAAGAUAUGUCGACAACUACUAUUAUGUAGAGGCUUUUCAAGAGUGGAUGAAAGAUAUUGUAGAGUAAUGUUGAAGGCUACCAAAGCUUGACAACUAAGAUAUUUCAUCAAGCACACAAGUAAGAGUUGUUGAACUUGAAGAAGUGGGAGAAGGAGAUUGUAAUCAAUAGAGUCGCACACAAGAAGAGAGAAC
rnacentral:lncRNA from 1 species